rnacentral:tRNA from 1 species
GCCCAGCUAGCUCAGUUGGUAGAGCAUGAGACUCUUAAUCCCAGGGUCAUGGGUUACGUUGGGUG